rnacentral:rRNA from 1 species
UUGGAGGGCAAGUCUGGUGCCAGCAGCCGCGGUAAUUCCAGCUCCAAUAGCGUAUAUUAAAGUUGUUGCAGUUAAAAAGCUCGUAGUUGAAUUUUGGAUUCUUCCAAUUGGUCCAUCUUUUAGAUGAGUACUGGUUGUGUGGGGUCUAUCCGCCUGGUAAUACGUAAUGUCCUUUAUUGGAUGUUGCGGGUAGUCAGGACCUUUACCUUGAAAAAAUUAGAGUGUUUAAAGCAGGCUUAUGCCGGAAUACAUUAGCAUGGAAUAAUGGAAUAGGACGAAGUUGUUUUAUUUUGUUGGUUUCUAGGACAACCGUAAUGAUUAAUAGGGAUAGUUGGGGGCAUUAGUAUUCAAUUGUCAGAGGUGAAAUUCUUGGAUUUAUUGAAGACUAACUACUGCGAAAGCAUUUGCCAAGGAUGUUUUCAUUAAUCAAGAACGAAAGUUAGGGGAUCGAAGACGAUCAGAUACCGUCGUAGUCUUAACCAUAAACUAUGCCGACUAGGGAUCGGGCGAUGUUGUUUCCAUGACUCGCUCGGCACCUUAUGGGAAACCAAAG